GUUUGUCGCGUUGUCCGUGAAAUUCCCUGGCUUAACUGGGGGCGUGCGGGCGAUACGGGCAGACUGGAGUACUGCAGGGGAGACUGGAAUUCCUGGUGUAGCGGUGGAAUGCGCAGAUAUCAGGAGGAACACCGGUGGCGAAGGCGGGUCUCUGGGCAGUAACUGACGCUGAGGAGCGAAAGCGUGGGGAGCGAACAGGAUUAGAUACCCUGGUAGUCCACGCCGUAAACGGUGGGUACUAGGUGUGGGUUUCCUUCCUUGGGAUCCGUGCCGUAGCUAACGCAUUAAGUACCCCGCCUGGGGAGUACGGCCGCAAGGCUAAAACUCAAAGAAAUUGACGGGGGCCCGCACAAGCGGCGGAGCAUGUGGAUUAAUUCGAUGCAACGCGAAGAACCUUACCUGGGUUUGACAUGCACAGGACGCCGGUAGAGAUAUCGGUUCCCUUGUGGCCUGUGUGCAGGUGGUGCAUGGCUGUCGUCAGCUCGUGUCGUGAGAUGUUGGGUUAAGUCCCGCAACGAGCGCAACCCUUGUCUCAUGUUGCCAGCGCGUUAUGGCGGGGACUCGUGAGAGACUGCCGGGGUCAACUCGGAGGAAGGUGGGGAUGACGUCAAGUCAUCAUGCCCCUUAUGUCCAGGGCUUCACACAUGCUACAAUGGCCGGUACAAAGGGCUGCGAUGCCGUGAGGUGUAGCGAAUCCUUUAAAGCCGGUCUCAGUUCGGAUCGGGGUCUGCAACUCGACCCCGUGAAGUC
rnacentral:rRNA from 1 species